UAGGGAAUCUUCGGCAAUGGACGAAAGUCUGACCGAGCAACGCCGCGUGAGUGAAGAAGGUUUUCGGAUCGUAAAACUCUGUUGUUAGAGAAGAACAAGGACGUUAGUAACUGAACGUCCCCUGCCGGUAUCUAACCAGAAAGCCACGUCUAACUACGUGCCAGCAGCCGCGGUAAUACGGAGGUGGCAAGCGUUGUCCGGACUUAUUGGGCGUAAAGCGAGCGCAGGCGGUUUCUUAAGUCUGAUGUGAAAGCCCCCGGCUCAACCGGGGAGGGUCAUUGGAAACUGGGGGACUUGAGUGCAGAAGAGGAGAGUGGAAUUCCAUGUGUAGCGGUGAAAUGCGUAGAUAUACGGAGGAACACCAGUGGCGAAGGCGGCUCUCUGGUCUGUAACUGACGCUGAGGCUCGAAAGCGUGGGGAGCAAACAGG
rnacentral:rRNA from 1 species